GACAGAGGGUGCAAACGUUGUUCGGAAUUACUGGGCGUAAAGCGAGUGUAGGCGGCUUGGCAAGUCGGAUGUGAAAGCCCCGGGCUCAACCCGGGAAGUGCACUCGAUACUGCUUAGCUUGAAUGUCGGAGAGGUUGGUGGAAUUCUCGGUGUAGAGGUGAAAUUCGUAGAUAUCGAGAGGAACAUCGGCGGCGAAGGCGGCCAACUGGACGAACACUGACGCUGAGACUCGAAAGCGUGGGGAGCAAACAGG
rnacentral:rRNA from 1 species